rnacentral:rRNA from 1 species
UACGUAGGGUCCGAGCGUUGUCCGGAAUUAUUGGGCGUAAAGGGCUCGUAGGCGGUUCGUCACGUCGGGAGUGAAAACUCGGAGCUUAACUCCGAGCCUGCUUCCGAUACGGGCAGACUAGAGGUAGGCAGGGGAGAGCGGAACUCCUGGUGUAGCGGUGGAAUGCGCAGAUAUCAGGAAGAACACCGGUGGCGAAGGCGGCUCUCUGGGCAUUAACUGACGCUGAGGAGCGAAAGCGUGGGUAGCGAACAGG